GUUAUCUUGCUAAUGAAGAACCUCUCUGAGGGAGCAAGAGACAAAUGCACUCACAUUCCCUAUUUACUCUAUUUUCUCUUUAUCCUUUACUUUUCUUGUUUUCCCUUGCUCUUUGUACUUUUCCUCACUUUCAGUAAUUAUUAUUCUAUAAUAUCCUUUCUUUGUUUGACUAACAUAUUAAGUAAAUAAAAUUUAUUUAACAUUGAGUAUGAUGGCUUCUAAUUCUCUUGGAAAUCAGUCUGAGAACUGACCUUUCAUAUCUUUCAUGGAAGAAGAAUUGAGAGACAUACAGGAGUAUGUAGAAUUGCAAAUCAAACAGACAUAUAUAAAGAAGGAUCAAGAGUACAUCAUGCACUAUUAAAUGAAGAUGGCAGAGGCAGAGAGGCAUUUACUGCUGCUGCUGCUAAGCUGCUUCAGUAGUAUCUGACUCUGUGCGACCCCUGAGACUGCAGCCCACCAGGCUCCCCUGUCCCUGGGAUUCUCCAGGCAAGAACACUGGAGUGGGUUGCCAUUUCCUUCUCCAAUGCAUGAAAGUGAAAAGUGAAAGUGAAGUCGCUCAGUCGUGUCCGACUCUUUGUGACCCCAUGGACUGCAGCCUACUAGGCUCCUCCUUCCAUGGAAUUUUCCAGGCAAGAGUAUUGGAGUUGGUUGCCACUGCCUUCUCCCAUUAGACAUCUGAAUGACAGUAAAUCAAAGGACACAAAUUUUAAAACGGUUGGAGUCAGAAUAUUUCCAAUAUCUGCCAAUAGAGGCUAGAGAGACAGCACUUAACUCAUCAAAAGGUGGAAGAAACAGACAAACCAAUAGAAUAAUCAAAGAACUACAUUCAAAAAGGUGUCAAAGCUCCAUGAUGGAUGAGAAAUUAGUACCAGAAUGGCUCCCGCUGUGAACUAUAAAAUCUGACAAAUACAUGAAGCAACUGUUUUUAUGCAUUACAGAACAAUGCAAGAAGAGAGAUAUAAAAAUUACAUGGGUUUGCGGAGUUCCCUGGUGGCUCAGGGGUAAAGAAGCUGCCUGCCAGUGCAGGAGACAUGGGUUUGAUCCCUGGUUCUUGAAGAUCCCACAUGCCAAGGAGCAACUAAGCCUGUGCACCACAACUACUGAGCCUGUGAUCUAGAACCCAGAACCAGAACUACUGAGCCAAUGAGCCAUACUACUGAAGCCCACACACCCGAGAGCCCCUGCUCCUCAACAGGAGAAGCUCCACAGUGGGAAGCCCACACACCACAACCGGAGAGUAGCCUCUGCUCCCCACACUAGAGA
ensembl:lncRNA